GCCAUGGCUGGGAAAAGGUGGAAGGGCGAGACCAGGCAGUAAUGAGUGGGGAGAGAGAAGGGGAGGAGUAGGGUGGGAGGGAACGACAGAGACGCUCCAGAAGGGGCACACGGUGAGAAUGCGCAAGACGGUGUUUUACAACCUUAGAUCUCCCUCCCCCAAAGUAAUAAAUAGCCAGGGUCUAGGUGAGGUGAAGUGCAAUAAGAAAAAGUAAAUAUGGAACAUGAGAUGUCUGUUUUACUCAGCCUUUGCAUGUGUCAGACUGAAAUUUCAGAAAACGUCACCAAACUUCCAAAAAGCAUCCCCAGUAAGAAAGACGGACUUGAGACCCGGUGAAGAAAACCAAUGGGGUCUGGGCUUGAUGUUCACCGAUUUUCCCUCAGCUCCGACUGUGGCUCCUCUCAGCUGACUCUGACCCUGCUCUCAGCCGGGCUGCAUCUGCCCAUCUCAGCACAUCAAUAAACAGCAGAGGGAAACUACCACCUUGGAAGGAGCCAGGCAGUUUCUGCUGGGUAGGCCGCAGCCUGGAACAUGGAAGUAGCUUCUUCCAUCCUACACUGGAAACCACCCAGCAUCCCGGGCCCUCCAGAGAAGAGCCAGACUCCCUUCCCUGGGAAGAGACUAUAGUCCUAUCUGUAUCCUCCGUGGUCAUUGCCCCUCAGUCACAGCAAUGAAGAGCAAAUUACCUGUUUUCUGUAUGUUCCUCUGACAACAACUGCCACAGAGUAAAUAUGAAAGGUUCUGGAUGAUUCCUUGUCAGCUUUUAUUAAAAUUCCACAUACUUGGCAUUUCUUAGCUAUCUGGGUUGACUCCUGGUUCCACCCCUUACUAGUUGCGUGACCUUGAAAAAGUGACUUACCUUCUCACAUUCUCAGUUUCCAUAUCUGUCAAGUGUAGGUAAAAGCACCAAACUGGUAGAGUUAUUUUGAGAAUUAUAUGAGUUCUGAGUGAGAGGGUGCUAAGACCUUGCUGGUUAGAGUGGUUUUUCAAUCCUGAUCACCUCCUUCUCCCUCUUAGCUUCUUUUCUCCUCCCCCUCCUGCUUCUAGUCUAGGCUUCUGGCAAUUUUGACGUAACAAAAGUGGGAUUCCUUCAUUCCUGACUUCAGAGCUUUUCCUUACUUCAGUAUUGCAUGAUAAUUCUCAAGCCUGUUCUUUACAUAAAUACAAAAAGGAGAAAGUGAAAUAGUAGAGGAACCGACCGAUUUGAAGGAGCUGCCACUAUUUGAUUCCUCCUGUUAGGACAUCUGAAUGACCCCAAGUUCCUGUUCUUGAGGCUGUUGUAUCAUAUUCUUAAAAGCUAUGCAUGCAUUCUGCUUUGAAUGUGUCCCUCAGCCUCAUUCUUCUCCACUUGCUGGGGGCCAUCCCGCCCCACGGGAAGGUAAGUUCAGGCUCAGAAGGAAAGACACGACAAAAAAAUCUUGCUUUUAUUUUUGUUGUCUAAAAUCAUGUUUCAUGCUCUUCUUUGAAUAAAAUCCAGGACUCCAGAGAUGACCUGUUACUUUUCUUUCAGCAAGUCUCUAAUUUGCCGAGGAGUAAACUUGUAAUGAAAAGAAACCAGAACUCCCCAAGGUAGCUCCCCCUCACAGUCAUUCCUCAAGGCAGG
rnacentral:lncRNA from 1 species